rnacentral:rRNA from 1 species
UACGGGGGGAGCAAGCGUUGUUCGGAUUUACUGGGCGUAAAGGGCGCGUAGGCGGUCAGCACAAGUCACUUGUGAAAUCUCCGGGCUUAACCCGGAAAGGUCAACUGAUACUGUGCGACUAGAGUGCGGAAGAGGCAAGUGGAAUUCCCGGUGUAGCGGUGAAAUGCGCAGAUAUCGGGAGGAACACCUAUGGCGAAGGCAGCUUGCUGGGACGGUACUGACGCUGAGACGUGAAAGCGUGGGGAGCAAACAGG